UACUUAUCUACUUGCCAAUUAGUGGGGGAUUAAAUACCGCAUACUCUGACUUCGGUCAGGAAAGGGUUCCGCAAGGGCCCGCUAAUUGAGAGGGAUAAGGCGUAUUAGCUAGUUGGUGGGGUAAUGGCCUACCAAGGUAAUGAUGCGUAGCCGGCCUAAGAGGGUGAACGGCCACAAGGGAACUGAGACACGGUCCCUACUCCUACGGGAGGCAGAAGGAGGAAACAUUUCGCAAUGGACGCAAGUCUAACGGAGUGAUACUACGUGAAGGACGAAGGUCUACGGAUUGUAAACUUCUUUACUAGUAGGUACUGCUUUCGGGCUUGCCUGCUAGCAAAAAGUCACGACUAACUAUGUGCCAGCAGUCGCGGUAAGACAUAGGUGGCAAACGUUAUCCGGAAUUACUGGGCGUAAAGGGUGCGUAGGUGGUUUAAUAAGUUACUGGUGGGAAAUCGGGGCCCAACCCCGUGGAAGUCAGUAAUACUAUUAAACUAGAGGGCCGGAGAGGUUAACGGAAUUCUAUGUGUAGCGGUAAAAUGCUCAAAUAUAUAGAGGAACACCAAUUGGCGAAGGCAGUUAACUAUUCGGCGCCUGACGUUGAGGCACGAAAGCGUGGGGAGCAAGACGGAUUAGAUACCCGAGUAGUCCACGCCCUAAACGAUGAGUACUAGAUAUUGGGAACUUGAUUUUCAGUGUCGCAAGAUAACUCGGUAAGUACUCCGCCUGGGUAGUACGGUCGCAAGGCUAAAACUCAAAGGAAUUGACGGGAACUCACACAAGCAGUGGAGCAUGUGGUUUAAUCCGAUAUGACGCGUAGAACCUUACCGGGGCUUGACAUGUUCGGCAAAACUAGGGAAACCUAGCGGAGGUUAUCCGGACACAGGUGUUGCAUGGCCAUCGUCAGUUCGUGUUGUGAGAUGUAUGGUUUAGUCCUAUUAACGAACGAAACCCUUGUGCUUAGUUGCUAACAGGUAAGGCUGAGGACUCUAAGCAGACUGCCAAGGCAACUUGGAGGAAGGCGAGGAUCACGUCUGGUCAUC
rnacentral:rRNA from 1 species